UACGUAGGGUGCGAGCGUUGUCCGGAAUUAUUGGGCGUAAAGAGCUCGUAGGCGGUUUGUCGCGUCGGAUGUGAAAACUCGGGGCUUAACUCCGAGCCUGCGUUCGAUACGGGCAGACUAGAGUUAGGCAGGGGAGAUCGGAAUUCCUGGUGUAGCGGUGAAAUGCGCAGAUAUCAGGAGGAACACCGGUGGCGAAGGCGGAUCUCUGGGCCGUUACUGACGCUGAGGAGCGAAAGCGUGGGGAGCGAACAGG
rnacentral:rRNA from 1 species